rnacentral:hammerhead_ribozyme from 1 species
AUCUAGAUGACGAGUCCUAAAUAGGACGAAACGCUCAUCAAACUGGAU